GCCGCUGGGAAAUGCUACGAUGAGACAGAUCAAUCCGGCUAGCCAAGCUCCCAGGGACACCAAAGCUCCGGCCUUGGACACCCUUUGUCCUCCUCUCUAAAGCGACACAAACGAUAGUGAAUCCUGUGAGGAGCACGGCAUGGAUCGAGAAAGCAACGUCGUUUGGAGCAACUGGAAUCAUCUGGAAGGUGAAAAAACGGAAAAAACGAUUCAGUGUU